CCUACGGGAGGCAGCAGUGGGGGAUAUUGCACAAUGAGGGGAACCCUGAUGCAGCGACGCCGCGUGUGGGAAGACGGUCCUCUGGAUUGUAAACCACUGUCCCCAGGGACGAAAAUGACGGUACCUGGGGAGGAAGCUCCGGCAAACUACGUGCCAGCAGCCGCGGUAAUACGUAGGGAGCGAGCGUUGUCCGGAAUUACUGGGUGAAAGGGGAGCGUAGGCGGGGAUGCAAGUUGGGUGUCAAAACUACCGGCUCAACUGGUAGUCGCACUCAAAACCGCAGCUCUUGAGUGAAGUAGAGGCAGGCGGAAUUCCUAGUGUAGCGGUGAAAUGCGUAGAUAUUAGGAGGAACACCAGUGGCGAAGGCGGCCUGCUGGGCUUUUACUGACGCUGAGGCUCGAAAGUGUGGGGAGCAAACAGGAUUAGAUACCCUUGUAGUC
rnacentral:rRNA from 1 species